rnacentral:rRNA from 1 species
GAGUGCGAUCAUAUCAGCCCAAAUGCACCGAAUCCCAUUAGAACUCUACCGGUAAGCGUGCUUGGGCGAGAGUAGUACUAGGAUGGGUGACCUCCUAGGAAGUCCUCGUGUUGCACUCC